GGUGCUCACAGUAAAAAAAAAAAACCCAGAGAUGAGUUAAAAAUGAAAUCAGCCUGUGAAGGGCCACUGGCUUCACAGAGAUGAAGAACCUCAAAGGACGAUUACAAGUUCCACAGAUGGGGCCAGAGGAGAAGAAUAUUUUGAGCAGAGGAGACAGCCCGAGCCCAGCGCAGAGGCCUGGAUGCAGUGUUCUUCUGAGAGACUAACAGCUCAUUCUCGGCACUACCCCUGGAGACGCCGAGCCAACUACUGCCACCAGUCAACAUCUAUUGAUUGAAUACUCCAUCUGUGUCAGGUCCUCCACUAGGCACUCGAGAUGCAAGACCUCAAAUAAUUCUUACAACAGCCUAAGAGGAAGCUGUCAGAUGAACUCUAUGCACUAAUGUGCCUGAGUCUGUGUUCCUUGAGAGCGCCACCCCAGGACUGUGUCGCAGCCGUCUAAUGAGCAUUAACAAUUGCACAUGAGGCAAGCAUCCAAGAGAGUUCUACAUUUCUUGCCAAGCACAGAAGGAGAAGGUGAAUCUAGAUAAUGCUUGCACUUGGGAAUCUAAACACAAUCCUGGCUUCAAGGAAACCCCCCAAAUUGCAAAGUUCUUGGACAGAAAGCAAAAUACAUUCAAUAUCCCUGCCACGUCUGUGAGAUUUCCGCUACCAUUCUUUACUGUGACCUCUGACUCGUCCAACAGGCUGAGAGCAAAGCAAAAAUGGGAGGAAAGAGGUCCUAUGAAAAACAAUAGGGUUGACAGAAAAUCCAGAGUCCACGGUAUAGUGUGGGCUUCCUGGCUUGUAAGCUGUUCGUAACGACUCACUCAGUGGUCAGGCUUUGACAGCAAACUGAAUUACUGUGGACCUAGAGCUAGGAUGUUAGCAAUGUAAUCCUUAAUUUAAAGAACUCAAAUGAUGCUGGAACGCAUAUAUAAUCAGGUUAUCUUCGUAACAUCUCCAGAUAGUUUUUGCAUACCUAUUAUGCAAAAGCAGCCAGAAAUCCCUUUUGGGACAUCAGAGAGUCAGGAGGGUCUGUUUCGCAGACUUGGACCGGUGUAUCAGUCAGCUAUCGCCUCAAUAAGGCUACCUAAUAAGCCACCCCAAAACUCAGUGGCUUAAAACAACAAGGAUUUAGUCUCAUACUCACGAGUCUGCAAGAUGGAUUGUGGUUUGGCUGGUUUAGUCUGGGCUAGGCUGGGGAGCUCUGUUUCAGGCUGCAGCUCGGCUAUACUUGGCUCCAGACUGUAGACUGGGCUGUUGGCAUGUGUGUUUACUCUGGGGCCCAGGCUGAAGGAGCAACAGCUGCCCAGAGGAAGUUCUUCUCAUGGUAGAUCACUGAAGUGCAAUAAGAGCAGCCUGGAUGCACAGGCUCUUUUCAAGCCUCUGUCAUGUCCCAUCCACUAAUAUUCUCUUUGGCCAAACCCAAAGUUAAGGGGCAGGAAGUAUACUCCACCCACCAUGAGGCCGAGGCGAGGGUGUUGAUGAAUAAUUCUCUUUGAACGCUGUGAAGAAUUGAGAACAGUAAUUCAGUUUUCCACAGUGAUGAUUAAAUCUCCACAUAUCAAUGAAUUCUUCCUCCUCUGGCUACUUCUGGUUUUCUCUUCUGGCUUCCCAGACAAUGUUUGCAUGCCUACAGGGGAGCCAAAUUGCCAAGAGGUCAGAAUUACCCAUCCAAACAGAGAAGGAACAACUUUUCUUUUGGAAGGUUCUGCCCAUCCUGCCGGGUGUCAAGACAUCUCCAUUAUUGGGAAAGGGACGUGAUUAUGCAAAAUAACGGAAUGUAAAGAACCUAGAGCCAAAAAGCGAGUAAGGGGAGGGAGGAGAUUCAGCAAUUGGAACUAGAAAUGAAAUUUGAGUUAAUUUCAAGCAAAACACCCCAAGCAAAGCACAUUCUCCUGAAUCCCUUUUUCUUAUUUUUACUAUUUUAUCACAAAGGCAAUAAAUGUUCAUUGAGGAAAAAAAAUCAAUCUGGUGAGCAGAAAACACAAUCAUCCAUAAUCCCAUCACCCAUAGUUGGCCACCAUUCAAAUAUUUUAUACAUGGGUGACUACAGAGAAUCAGGGAUCAAGGUGACAAUACCUAGCCAACGUCAUGAAAAUAUUAAGGCUCUAGGUCCAGGCCACUUAGACGCCAGAAAUUCUUCUUCUCAUCCCCCAACUGCAGAUGCCUAGGUGAGUCCUCUCUUACAGGCUUUUUUCAAUACUUACAGUAUAUGCAUAUAUAUUUUUUUUUUUGCAAAAAUAGGAUAAUCUAUUAUAUAUAGUUUUAACCUACUUGUUUCACAUAUCAGCCUAGUUUUCCUUGUCAACAAAGAUAUAUAUGAAUAUGUAUAAUCAUUUUAAAUGCUGCCUUGUAUUUCAUUUAUGAAUUACCAUAAAUUAUUUAACCAAUGCUCCAGUGAUGGAAGUUU
rnacentral:lncRNA from 1 species